rnacentral:rRNA from 1 species
AUUGAACGCUGGCGGCAUGCCUAACACAUGCAAGUCGAACGAGUGGCGGACGGGUGAGUAAUGUCUGGGAACCUUCCCGAUGGAUGGGUAUGACUACUGGAAACGGUAGCUACUACCGCAUACCAUCAGAUGUGCCCAGAUGGGAUGAGCUUGUUGGUGGGGUAACGGCUCACCAAGGCGACGAUCCGUAGCUGGUCUGAGAGGAUGACCAGCCACACUGGAACUGAGACACGGCCCAGACUCCUACGGGAGGCAGCAGUGGGGAAUAUUGCACAAUGGGCGCAAGCCUGAUGCAGCCAUGCCGCGUGUGUGAAGAAGGCCUUCGGGUUGUAAAGUACUUUCAGCAGGGAGGCGGUACCCGCAGAAUAAGCACCGGCUAACUCCGUGCCAGCAGCCGCGGUAAUUC